AAAGUAAGUAUGAGCAGUAAGAAAUUUCUAAUUUUUAUAUUUUAUGGUUAAAUUCCAUUUUUACUUUA
rnacentral:tRNA from 1 species